UUAUGGAGCCUAAAUACCCUAAAAGCACUCGAUCCCAUUUGAUCUUGGAAGCCAAGCAAGAUAAGGCCUGGUUGAUACUUGGAUGGGAGAUCACCAACAAAUAACAUAGGCUAUAUUUC
rfam:Anolis carolinensis chromosome 2, whole genome shotgun sequence.